UGUAGGUUGUCCCCAGCACAUGCAAGUAGUUGGUAGAGCAUGAGACUCUUAAUCUCAGGGUCAUGGGUUCAAGCCCCACAUUGAGUAA